GGUCAAGUUAUUAAGGGUGCAGGGCGGAUGCCUUGGCACUAGGAGCCGAUGAAGGACGUGAUAAGCUGCGAUAAGCUUCGGGGAGUUGCACGUAAACUUUGAUCCGAAGAUUUCCGAAUGAGGAAACUCACUUAGAGUAAUGUCUAAGUAUCAUUAAGUGAAUACAUAGCUUAAUGAGGGGAACUCAGGGAACUGAAACAUCUAAGUACCUGAAGGAAGAGAAAGAAAUUCGAUUCCGUAAGUAGCGGCGAGCGAACGCGGAUUAGCCCAAACCAAUAAAGUUUUCUUUAUUGGGGUUGCGGACAUAUCAUAACGAAGAGGUAUCGUAAUUGAAGAGGUUUGGAAAGACCCACCACAGAAGGUAAUAGUCCUGUAUGUUAAACGAGAAGACUUUAGAUAUGAUCCAGAGUACCACGGGACACGUGAAACCCUGUGGGAAGCAGGAGGGACCACCCUCCAAGGCUAAAUACUACCUAG
rnacentral:rRNA from 1 species